rnacentral:rRNA from 1 species
CCUACGGGUGGCAGCAGUGAGGAAUAUUGGUCAAUGGACGAGAGUCUGAACCAGCCAAGUAGUGUGAAGGAUGACUGCCCUAUGGGUUGUAAACUUCUUUUAUAAAGGAAUAAAACGAGGCACGUGUGCCUUUUUGCAUGUACUUUAUGAAUAAGGAUCGGCUAACUCCGUGCCAGCAGCCGCGGUAAUACGGAGGAUCCGAGCGUUAUCCGGAUUUAUUGGGUUUAAAGGGAGCGUAGAUGGGUUGUUAAGUCAGUUGUGAAAGUUUGCGGCUCAACCGUAAAAUUGCAAUUGAUACUGGCAGUCGUGAGUACAGUUGAGGUAGGCGGAAUUCGUGGUGUAGCGGUGAAAUGCUUAGAUAUCACGAAGAACCCCGAUUGCGAAGGCAGCUUACUAAACUGUGACUGACAUUGAUGCUCGAAAGUGUGGGUAUCAAACAGGAUUAGAUACCCCGGUAGUC